rnacentral:rRNA from 1 species
UACGUAGGGUGCAAGCGUUAAUCGGAUUUACUGGGCGUAAAGCGUGCGUAGGCGGUUCAUUAAGUCGGUUGUGAAAUCCCUGGGCUUAACCUGGGAACUGCAGUCGAUACUGGUGGACUAGAAUGCGGUAGAGGGUGGCGGAACUCCGGGUGUAGCGGUGAAAUGCGUAGAUAUCCGGAAGAACACCGAUGGCGAAGGCAACCACCUGGGCCUGCAUUGACGCUGAGGUACGAAAGCGUGGGGAGCAAACAGG